GCCAGGUGCAGUGGCACGCGCCUGUAAUCCCAGCAGCUCUGGAGGCUGAGACAGGAGGAUUGAAAAUUCAAAGGCAGCCUCAGCAACAGCAAGAUGCUAUGCAACUCAGUGAGACCCUGUCUCUA
rnacentral:sRNA from 1 species